UAAAAUUUCUUUUCCUGAUAAUUUGGGGAGGUAGCUGUUUAUCAUAUGGAAUGAUAAACAAAAGCUGCAAAAGUCUUUUCAAAUGGGUUCGUUUGCAGCCCUGUAGAGCUGUGCUUCAUGAGUUUAUUUGCAUCGUCAGGAGAAUCUAGACUAAUUUAAUUCAUGGUAGGGAGCAUAUGUUAAUGACUUCUCUGGGUGGAGGAAGGCAGUGCACACCUCCCUCCUAACUCAGUGGUCCUGAUCUACAAGCAGGCCAAUAGAUCAAAACCACACCUCAUGGUGAGGCCCCUGUGGGAUGGAAUUCACGUUCUCCUUAGAUGCUUUUUUACAUCACAAAAACCUCUGGAAUGUUUGCUGCCUUGUCAGAGUGUCUGAAGGUUGAAUUAGGUACGGGUUGGAUGGAUCCCUGAGCAGCCUGAGMUGGUGGGUGGCAUGGGGGCAUGGAACUGGAUAAUCCUGAAGGUCCCUUYUAACCCAAACCAUUCUGUGAUUYUGUGAUCUCCCUGCCCAGCAGAACGAGUGGGAGAGGAAGGGAGGGAGCUCUGUUGUGAGCUGAAACAGCAUUUCUGCUUUGCCAGCUUCCUCACUUGCAGGCUUGCUCUGACUUAACAACUCUGMGGCCUUCACAGGCUUGAAAAACUGUAUAAAGGAACCAAAAGAAAAGGUAUUUCAAGGAAUGAAAUUARGAAUUCCCAGAUCGAAGAUGCAAAUUCUGGCAACGAGAAAUAGCUUGACAUGGAUAUUAUGAGAUUACCGAGACCUCGUGGUAGUAGUAAUAACAAUAAUCAUCUGUUAUUUGAAGAGCUGCUGAAACGCAUGGAAAUUUUAAAAUAUUAUUCUUAGAAAUCCUUCCUCCUAAAUGCUUUGUCUUUCCUGAAAAAUGACAGAAAAGUAGAUGGAUAGCACUUUGCCCAAACAAAUUUUCAUUUUAUGCUUAAAUACAGCCUUAGAUGCCCAGCUUCAAGAACUUGAGUUUGAAAAUACAGUUAUGGGCCAGAAAUAUAACCUGUGCCAUAAUUUGACAACAAAAUUAUUUUUACUUCAACUAUCCUAUAAGAUAGGAACAAAGAAUUAGAUCUCACAUUAUACACCUGAUAAUUCUGAAUAAUGAAUACAUUCACAAAAAAAAGAGAAGCAUAUAGGGUAAAUUUGCAAUUUGGGAAGUGCGACUUACUAUACAAAUGAUUUAUUACARAAUAGGCUGUAGUGAAAAUUUUAUGGCCGAAGCGAUGUUUUGGAUAAUAAAUUAUAUAUUACAGACAAUAAAAAGUGGACAGAUUCCCCACCACUGUCAAUGACAGCACCUGGCAGUACUGGGCACAUGGGCUUUGGAGAUUUAUCUCUAAGCAUGGAAUGGAAUUUCCAGAUGGUGGGAAUUACCGGGGCAGAACAGAGUUCUAGGUUGUCAUUUUAAUAAAGUUUUCCAGAGAGCRUAAGAGUUCCACGUAUCCACACUCAUGAUCUGCGCUUUUACAUCYGCUCUUGGCUGCCACUGGGUGCUCAGCAUCUAAAAAGGGAUGGCGAAAUAAAUCACACAGAUCUCUAUGCAAGUCUCAUCAGGCUCUGAAAGGUGAGAGGAUCUACUCCCGUUCUCCCCUCUGCAACUGGGGCAAGAAAAUCUCAYGAGAUGGGACCUAAACUGCAGAACGAGCACUUAAGGAAAGGCUGGGAUCUGCGUGCCACACCUCUGCCCUCUCUUGUAUACAGUGUUAUUGUAAAUCACAAUGUCUCCGUCCAGAGAAAACAUAUUUUGCACCUCAUCUGGUCUAAAUAUUGAGUUUACGAGUGAAUGUUGCUUUGCAUUAUGUGUUAUAGAUGCUUUAUGUUUAUUUAAGAACUCAGUUUGCAGGAAUGUUUUCCAGACAUGCGGUUUACCGCAAUAGACAGUUGUUGAUAUUCUGAUCCCAAGAGCAUUAGAAUAUGUUUAGGAAUUGCGACACUUUUAAAACCAGAUGUUCUACAUAAGCUGCACAAAAAAAAUGGGGGUGGGGGAACAAAUAGAACUGUCAUUUGGCAUGAAAACAGCCUGUGUUAAAGCAAGGGCAAACACAUACCAAGUGAAAUAAACGUGGUGAACUGCCCUCAACCCUUUCCUCCUUUUGUGAGCAACUAUUUUAACAAAAGAUGGAAAAAUCCCAUCUUCCAGAUGGUGUGGGAAGGGGAAAAGAAGGUUUUCAGAUCCAGGUUUGCAUCUGAAGGAAGCUGCUGGAUCUCGUUUCCUGGGAUGGAUCAAACCAGAAUGACAGAGCUAGGCAACUUCAGGCAAGGAAAGAAUGCAAAUCUGGAUUCAACGCCCUGUCCAGAAAAUKAUUUUCUGUGUGUUUCUAAAGGUAAAAGAGGAAACAAAGAUUUGCCCUUCAUGGUGAAUUGCUACAGAAAGUCUCCUCCAGCUGCCAGAGACUGGUGGAACAUCCCAGCCUGUCCUCCWGUAUGAUCUGACAGAUAUUUGUGUAAGCAGGUGGGGGAUCAUCCUGCACCAGGCACUGUCUCAGGGGCUGAAGGAU